CAGUCGCCGCGGUAAUACGUAGGUGGCAAGCGUUGUCCGGAAUUAUUGGGCGUAAAGGGCUCGCAGGCGGUUUCUUAAGUCUGAUGUGAAAGCCCCCGGCUCAACCGGGGAGGGUCAUUGGAAACUGGGAAACUUGAGUGCAGAAGAGGAGAGUGGAAUUCCACGUGUAGCGGUGAAAUGCGUAGAGAUGUGGAGGAACACCAGUGGCGAAGGCGACUCUCUGGUCUGUAACUGACGCUGAGGAGCGAAAGCGUGGGGAGCGAACAGGAUUAGAUACCCGGGUAGUCCCUGUCUCUUUACC
rnacentral:rRNA from 1 species